AUUGAACGCUGGCGGCAGGCCUAAAACAUGCAAGUCGAACGAGGGGCGGACGGGUGAGUAAUGUCUGGGAAACUGCCCGAUGGAGGGGGAUAACUACUGGAAACGGUAGCUAAUACCGCAUACCAUCGAAUGUGGCAAGAUGGGAUUAGCUAGUGGGUGGGGUAACGGCUCACCUAGGCGACGAUCCCUAGCUGGUCUGAGAGGAUGACCAGCCACACUGGAACGGAGACACGGUCCAGACUCCUACGGGAGGCAGCAUUGGGGAAUAUUGCACAAUGGGCGCAAGCCUGAUGCAGCCAUGCCGCGUGUAUGAAGAAGGCCUUCGGGUUGUAAAGUACUUUCAGCGAGGAGGCGUUACUCGCAGAAGAAGCAUCGGCUAACUCCGUGCCAGCCGCCGCGGUAAUUC
rnacentral:rRNA from 1 species